UGAUGUUGUUUGUGGCAGUGCC
rnacentral:piRNA from 1 species